AAGCAACACUUGAAGUACCACACUACUCUUUACAUUCUUUCGUCUUCAUAUUUCAAAAGCUCUCUAAUAUUAAGCGAUGGCUGUGUCUCCAAUCCAGUCGGUGCUUGGAAUGUUGGGUAUUAUGUCCAUGCAACACCGUCAUGCUGGGGUGCAUAUCAGCUCAUUUUAUCCACCUGUUGCACAAGUUUGGAACUCGUGGUUUAAUUAAGUCCUUUACCGCUUCUGGAUGAAGACUGAAAGGAUGUGUUUGUGUUAUCCUUUUAAGUAAUGUUAAUAAGCAUGGCUUUGACUGAUCCACUAUCUCCACUGGAGUGUGUGUGUGUGAAUCUCAAUGCUAUGAGCAAAUAAACUGUGUCUUUAUGUACUUCUAUUUCAUGUGCUCGUAAUAAAUCAGUCUUUCGGCCAAACAGUUAUUAAAUAUCUUUGCUUAAAAAUUUUUGAACAAAUAAUUUGUUUCCUCAUCAAAAUAUUUGAAAUAUAUAUUAAUAUAUAUUUUAAUUCAAGACUUAAAAAUAAGUUGCCUAAAUACUUUAUUUGAAACAAUCGAAUUAAUUUUUAACAAGACACGAAACAUAACUCCAAAAAAGAACAGAAAGUGUAUGUAAUGGUGUUGCAGACUGAAUGCAUUUCUUGUUUUCAAUAUGAUUGGUUAGUCACAACAUGAUAAAAGGUUUUUUACGAUCAGUUGUGGUUUUAGGUUAAUUGAAUUUAUAAAAUAAUUGAUGCAUUUAUCUAUAAUUUGUAAUGUUUUUUAACAAUUCUGUAAAACAUGGUUCUUUCUUAUGAAAUUGCCAAAUUACUAAAUAAUAGUUUCAGUACCAAUAUUUUAUAAUAAGUCCUAAACAUUAUAAAAGUGGUUAUUUUUUUUAAACAAAAGCUAUGGACUUUGGUUGUUCACAUUUUCCAAUGUUUUCUAUUUUUUUAAAAAUUAUUAGAUUAGAGAAUAAUAGCUCCAAUUGCCUAUAUUUUUGUUAAAAGUAGUUAUUUUUUGUAAAAGGAUUAUUCACAAAAUAAGAGUUCAUAUUAUCAAUAUUUUGUAAUAUUAUCAAAGAUCUUGUAAAAAAUGCUUCUUUUUUUUUUAUUAAAGAGUUGUUUAUAGAAUAAUAGUUCUGAUUACUAAUAUUUUGUAAAAUUUUCUAAUCUUUUUGUAAAAAAUAUAUAUAUUUUUUGUAAAUUUAGGUAAAACUAAGUAAAUUGUUAAAUUUAUCCCGACUCAUGCGUUGAUAAAAGGUUGUCCUCCAUCCAUAUUUUUGAUAGGGUUUUAGAUAGGUUCCAUAAUUAUUUUUAUGCAGCACAAUGUAUAAAUUUAUCUCUGUAUUUAUAUGUACAAAAUAUGGUAGCACUUUUAAUUUUUGCCAGUGUUAGAACUUACGUAACGUGGGAGCAAUAUUAGAUGAAAAAAUAAUUUUUUAUAAAAUCAUUCAAAAAUAAUAAAAUUGUAUAAUAAAAUAAUCAUGAAAUGUAUUACAAAAUUGUAUCUCAUUGAGAUAUGUUAAAAGAAAGUUAAAAUGCUAAGAUGUGUUUUCUUAAGUAUCCUGCGAAGCUUUUUACCAAAGUAUGCAAUAAAAAAAACUAUGCAUGGUAUAAUCUAGGGGUGUCAAAAUGGGUUGGUUUGUCAGGUUCGACACCAAUUCACCUAACACGCAACAUAAUUACGGUCAACAUAAAUACUAUCAAUUUAAUAUUAUUUUAAAUUUAUCAACAUGAACACGAUACGAAAAUUAGGCAAGUGAUAGGAACACGAUAAAUUUAACCCAACUAAUAUUAUAAACAAGUUAAGUAGUUCGUGUUGACCCAUAUACAACCCGUGUAAUCCGCUUGAUAUCAUAAACAAGUUAAAGGUCCUUACUGUUCUUAUUUUUUAUUUUUUUAAUUUUGAAUAAUUGAUAAAACUUGUUGGUCCCUACUGUUCUUUUUCACACGUGGCAAUCUUAUAGGCUUACACUUGGCUUCUAUAUAAUGGAAACUGAUUUUCUUUUCUAUAUUAUAUAGAUAUAUAGAUUUUGAUAUAUUUGAUACUUUAAUUUAUAAAAUUAUAUCCAUACAAUAUUUCAGCUUUUAAAAAUUAUUUUAUUGAAAAAUCGAAUUCGUAAAAUUGAAUUGAUUAAAAUUUACUAGAUAGUUAAAAUAUAUGAAAAUUAUUGUUUCAAAAAUUAUGCUAAUAACACAUUAAGUAAACAUUUUGCACGUAAAUACCAAAAACAUUAAAAAAAAUUAAUAUAACUAAUAUUAAAAGGAAUAAAAUAUUAUUAAAAUUUGUAAUUUUAAGAAUAUAAUAGAUUUAUCACAAAGUUUAGAAUCUAACAGUAUAUCCCUAAAAUAUAGGGAUUAAUUUAUAUAUUUGGCAUUUUUCUCCACGUUUUAGUAAGUUUCUGCGAUCUUACUUUCAUGACCACAAUCACACAAGCACAAGAAGCCAAGAAACCAUUAUUCGUAAGAUGCAAGACAAAGCUUUUUCUUCUUCAUAAAAAUGGACACAUAGCACAAUCAGUGUCAGCAAUUUGGGAAAGGAUGACACAAUAAAUUAUAAUUAUCACUCGCCAUCAGCUUUCUAUUAUUUGCGGGACAAGAGUAAGUGCACUUACCAACAGAAGACAAUGUUAAGGUUGAGGAGAAGGGUAGUGCAGUGGAUAUUCUUGCUUUUGCUAUAAUUUCUAUGUUUUGUUUAGGCUAAUUCAUAGCUACAGAAAUUAUCAUCUUAUCUAAAGUUUUUAUUUUUAUAUGUAUGUUGAGAUUUUUCAGAUUUUUUUCAUUUAGAGCAAGCUAGUAUGAGUGUAAAUGAGAAGUGUUUGUGGCUGAGUAUAAUUUUUUGAAUAAGCUAAAUUUUUCUGAAUUUAAAAUAAUAAAAUAAAUUUAUUUUGCCGAUUAAAAAAAUUAAAAUUAUAUGUAGUGGUUGUGGAUAUCCAACCUUUUUCUUUUUGUUUGAUGAGAUCCUGAUAAGUAUUUCUUUCAAAAAUUAUUUGGAUUCUGCAAUCUUCUGUCACAUGUAUUUGUCUUGCAAACCGUAAAAUUUUGAAUUUUCAGUAUUGGUUGCUAUACAUUUAUGAAAAUAUAUUUUCCUUUUUCAAAAGAAAAAAAAAUCUUAUACAAGUAUAACAACAAUCAUUAUCUAUCACUUGAAUCACUUGCAUCCAAACAUCAUUUGAUACUUUGUUAAAGUUGUCUACUUGGUACAACUUAAUUCUUUACCCGACGGCCGUUAAACAACACAUCAAGUAUUUUAUUCUAAGUUGAACAAAAAUGCCGGCUCUGUGUGUUUAUAUAUAUAUAUAUAUAUAUAUAUAUAAUUAAUAAUAAUAAAAAAAAUUCCUCCUUACAUUUCAUGUUUUUAUAUUUGGCCAUGCUUUAAUCUAUCAAUCAGUAUUUGUAACAUGUUUGGCCAUGCUUUAACCUAUCAAUAUCAAUAUCCAUUAUUGCUUUAUGUUCGAUGAGAUUUUAAUAAUUAAGUAUUUCUCUCACCAAUUAUUUGGAUUCUGUAAUCUUGUGUGACACAGUGACUUGCUAAUUGUUUAUGACUUGAUCCAUUCAUUUAUUAGAAGGAACCUAAUCGGCAUUAGUGCAAGAUUAACAUUAUUUCUGCUUACAAUUAAAAUGGCCAACCAAAUAUACGCUGAUAGAGUGUACCGUCUUUAGAAAACAAAUUGAUUAGUGUAUUUUUAAUAUAGUUUUUAUUAGGAUUUUUAGUAUUUUUAAUUAUUUUAAUUAGUUUCUAUUUAAUUUAUUUAUGUUUUUUUUCAAAGUUUCAUUGAAUCAUAUUUCACUUGAUUUUAAGAAAUUUUAUAGGAUUUUGAUAUAGAAAAGAGCAAAGUGAAAUAAAACUCUCAAAGGCUGGCACGUCUUAGGCGUUCAACUCAACACCCCAGUGCGGGAUUGAAGAGAAAUUAACAUAGAGACUCAGAGCGUAGCAUGCCCAAGCCGUGUAUUAAAAUUGUUUAGAUACGGCAGAGAUCUCUCCUUAUAUAAACUUAUUAAAGCUUUUUUAAGUCUAAUUAGGAAAACCACUUAAUUUGCAGAGGAAGAAAUCUAAUCACAAAAGAAAACGAUUAAGUCUUGUAUUUCUUCUGAAAUUAAGAGUCCAAUUGACCAAUUAGAAUUAGAACUCAAAUUAGGUAAUUAUCUUUGCGGUUCCCUUUUUUUUAACUUGAUAUUUAGCAAAUUUCUAAUUCUCUAUAAAAACCUUCUAGAACGAAAUCAAAAUAAUAAAGGAAGCAAAAAUUAAUAAUUAAAUAAAAUAUAAAUAAAACUAAAUAAAGACUAUCUAAAAUAAAUAAAAUACUACUCCCUCAGUUCUAAAAAAAUAAUCUCACUUUUUAUAAUGAAUGCCCCAAAAUAAUAGUGUCAUUUCUAUUUCGGAAAUAGGUUUUUGUUAACUUUCUUAUAUUCUGCCAACAAUUAAUAUAAGUAGACUUACAAAAUAUUCAGUCAAAAUAUAAAUAUAAAAUAAUAUAAAUUAAUUGAAACAUGUGCGGAGAUAUUAAUUUUUUUUACUGAAAAACUCUAUAAACAUUAAUCAAAAAAAUUUUAAUAUAAGGGUAUAAAUGAAAAAGAAGGAUAACUGAUAUAUUUAAACUAAUUUAACUAUUCAUUCUUAAUUUGUAUGAAAAAAGAGUGAGACUAUUUUUUUGUGACGGACAAGUAGAAAUUAUAAUAAAAAUUAUAUUAUAAAAAUUAUAAAAAAUAAACCUAUCACCUCUUUACAUUUCAUGUUUUUAAGAUAAAAAUAUUGAUGGGUUAUAUUUAUUUUGAAAUGUGAUUUUAUUAUAUAAAAUAGUGUUGAUGUUCGGAUUGCUGAAUGAUAAAUUGUGGCGGACUAUAUUAUAUGAUGUUUGAAUACUUGUUGCUCAUACAUUUGUUAUUCACAAAGGGUAUUUCAAUCUUCUUUUAAACUAGUUUUUUUUUUUUUACAACGUGCAUUGUAAGUUGAUCAUUUUCUUUAUAUAUUUAUUUUUUUAUCUAUAUAAUAUCAAAGUAUGAGUUUUGUUUAGAUUAAAAUAAAUAUAAAUGGUUAAUUUGUAUCUACAAACUACUUGUAAUGAAGUGGUCUCAAAACAAAAUUCAACCCAAUCUUUAGACCCACUUCUUUAGUUUCUAAUUUAUAAAUGCUGAUUUUUAAAAUCCUAAUAGGUGCCCAAAAAGAAAAUCAAAUCAUUACUCAAUCUUCAACCUCUGUCCUCAAUCUCAAAUCAAUAUUUAUAUACAACUAUAAUUAAAAAUAAUAAUAAAUUAUUUUUAUUGCUAGAUAAAAGAAAAGAAUUGAGAGGAUGAUCUGAAUUAAUAAUGAAAACUACUUUGGUUACAGUGGUAAUAUUAUUUACCCAGUAUAUUAAAGAAAUGAAUAUAUGCGCAUAUAAACAAAUACUGGAAACCCCCAAAUGUGACCCACACAGAACUAUAUAGUUCUAGUUUUAUUUCAGUUUUGUGGUUUGUUUUGCGAAUUCAUAACUUAAGAUUAUUAACUUAUGAAAACCCCUCGUGAGUCAAAUCAUAUAGUUUCGACAUCAAGUUAUUAUUCUCAUGUAAUUUGUUACCUUUUUCAUAUGAAAAACUCUUUUUCCGAUAGUGAUUAAUGAAAUAAAUCAAUCCAGGGGAAAAAUUCUGCCUCAAAGCAUUAAGUUCAAUAAUAAAUUAUACUUUGAACAAAGAAAAACAAAUCUAAUAUUAUAAAUUGGAAAAGAAUUCAAGCUACAUCAAAUCCCUAGGAUGAAGAUUUAGUUCGACAUAGUAAUUAAAUAAAACCCAAUAAUACUUGAACAAAAUUUCAUAAUAAGUGUGAAUAAUGAAAAGUAAAACAAGAUUAAGAGUUUAGAAAUAAAAACUAGGCAACAUAUAACGAGACGGCUUCCUUGAAUUUUUGCACGAAUCUUGAAUGCUUGAAGUCUUUGAGAGGGAAAAGAAACAGUCGAACAGAAAUUGUCAAAGACCAGAGAUGCCUCUAUAAUAAAUGGCCCCUCUCUUUAUAUAGACUUCUUGGGAGAAAAUUUGACUCUGUUUAGGAAAUAGACUCCUUAUUAAGUAAGAGAUCUUUUUGGAGAUAUGAAACUAUUUAGGCUUUAGAUUUCUUCUCAAUUAGGACUUUUUCCAUCUUCCUAAAUAGGAUUAGAACUUGUUUUGCACAUAAGAAAAAAUCAGAGGUGGGCCCAUGUAAGUUAUAGAAACUGGCUGGCGUUCUCAAUUUAGGACAUAAUCAAAUUUGUAGCAUGGGCGUGCUGUUUUGCACUGUCUGGGCGUGCCAGAGCCUGAGUUCCUUGGUUGGUUCAGCACGGGCCGUGCUGCGCAAUACGUCCAGAGAAAAUUCUACGGCACAUGCAUGCCCCAUAGCACGGGUAGGGCAUGAUAGGCUUUGACUUUCCAGGAUGAAAUGCAUCAUAGCUUAAGCACCCCCUGAGGUCUUCUUAGGCACGGGCGUGCUAAUGUGCACAGGCAGGGCCUGCUAGGGCUUGAAUGUUUUGCUUUAAUUUGCUCUUUUCUGUGUCAAAAUUCUGUAAAUUUCUUUAAAAUUAAGUGGAUUAUGAUUCAAUGAAACUUUGAACAAAAACAUAGAUAAAACUAAAUAAAAAUUAAUUAAAGUAAUUAAAAUUACUAAAAUUCCUAAUAAGAACUAUAUUAAAAAUACUAUAAAAAUAGCACCUAUCAUCUUCAAUAAUGUUAACUUCCCUUAUCUUUUUUUUUUUUUUUUCCAAAUGACCCUUAUCUUAUUAAUUUGAUUUAUAAUAAUUUAUAAUAGCAAUUUCUUUUAUUCACAGUUAUUUUUCAUAUUUUUAAGAGAAUCUUAUAUGAAUCGGAGUGUAAUUAUAAUUUUUGUAGUUAUAUUUUUCAUAUUUCUUUUAUUCACAGUUAUAUAUAUAUAGAUUUUGUAGUUAGUAGUAAACCCUAAACCUCUAUUUCUAGUCUGCUUCACCAGUUAUCUAGGUCAACACUAUGUCCGGCCGAUUUUAUUGCAUUGGUUCCAUGUCUUGUCAGGCUGGUGGCCUUGCCGACAACUUAAUUUGUAUACAAAAGUACCCAUAUUCUUAUGAAUUUUUUCUAGUGAAAUUUAAUAGUGCCGAUGAUAAAUUGGAUUUUAGGUAUGACAACGUGAUAAUAAUUCAGUAACAAUAGGAUAAAUAAGCUCAUUAUUAUCAAUAAUCAAUCAAAUUAUUCUACCUGUUAUUUAAUACCUCUUAAAUAAGCCGUUGUUGCUUGAUAUGAAAAAUAAAUUCUGAUUGAAAGCGUGAGACCUAACAUAAUAGGUUAAUAUCCAUAUAAUAUAAGAAAGCAGGCCGAGCCGGAUAUCUUGGCUUCAAUGAGUUUAUCACUGCUAUGCAAGUUUUAAUUUAGUACUUUUUCUGAAGUUUAUUAUUAUUAAAUUAAUUGUUAUUUACUGAUUAACUGAUGCUUUGAAGGGUAGUUAGUUUCUUUAGCGCAAGCAGGACAUGAAAUAACUCAUGAUCUCUUUUUUAUUGCACGUGCGCAUAAAUAAAUUAAAACAACCUUUAGCCCCAGCCAGGUGGCCAGGUAUGUUUAUAAAUUAUUGUCAGGUAUACCUAUUGUCUCAUUGAAACUCUAUUAUCACUUGAGUACAAAAACGACACGACUUCACUAUUGACUCAAACAACACAACAUAAUGAUAAGUAAGUUUUUAGGUUAUACCGUGUUUAGUUAGAGAUAAUGCAAUAUAAUGUAAUUAAAUAUAUAAUAUAAUAAAAAAUAUAAUUAAUGAAAUAGAAUAAAUUAAGAUUUUAUUAUUAUAUUUAAUAAUGUAAUUGAGAAAAUUUAUAUAAUAUAAUUACAAUUUUAUUUUUAUGUUAGUUUGUUAAUACCUAAUAUAAUUAGCGCACCUACGAGUGGCACAAGGCUGCCUAUUUGAGGUUACAUUGCUGCAACUUUGUAGGAGCGGAUUCCAUGGUUGCAACCUGUUGCGUAUUUUAUUUUAUUUAAGAUAUUAUAGGGGUUAAUUUUAGGAGGUUAAGCGAUGUAAUAAUGCACCCUACUAAUAGAUAAAUUUAUUUAAAUAUGAUUAUGAGAAACGUGAAAAAGAAAAACAAAACAAAGCCUUCAAAUAAAAAUUUUCUACAUUUUCUUUUUGAGGAAAAUAAAUAUAAAAGGUAAAUAGAAUGGUAUAAAACACAGCCUCUUAAGUUUUUGUUUACCUGACAAAUUUAAAUGCGGAGGUAUUAUCUAACAAUAAUUAAGAGGUAUGUCUUAGAGUGGGAUCCAAAGAUGAAAAUCGUAUACUAAAGGAGCCAGCUACUCUUCCAAGAAGAGCUGAAAGAGUGUCUUCAGUUGGAGACAAUAAUAUUGAGAUUCUAAAAAAAUUGGGUCCAAUUACUACUCUUUUAGCCACAUUGGUGGAAAAGAUAGAUAAAAACAUUGAGCAAAUAAAAAAAAAUAGUGCACAAAUUGAAGAGUUUUAGUCUUUUGUUGCUGAUUUGAGGCACUUUCACCAAGAAAUGGGUCAGUAUUUUGAGAUUUUUGAAACAUCUACCGAAGAAAAAAGUUGUCAAAAAAGUAAAGAUGCACUUGAAGGUAGUGAUCAUCAAGUACUCGUAGACUCAGAUGUGACCCAACCUCCUACACAAGAACCAUAAACAAAAUGGAAAUUUGUUAACUUUCAAGAUCUUUUUGCAAGUGAUGAGAUAGAUGACCCAGUAAGAAAAAUUAUGGAGGGCAUACUUGAUGCUAUUAAUGUUGAUCUAGGUAAGAAUGAUGAUAAUAAAUAGGUUAAUGUGGAUUUAUUGGUAGUAAUUCUGCACUUUCUGAUUAUUUUUUAUUUUUUUGUAAGUCACUUUGUGUCCUUUUGUUUUUAGUAUUUGUGCACUUUUCAAUAGUUUUUGGUUUCUCUAUGUUAGUUAACGGUUGUAAACUUUUGUAAGCUAUUUUAUAGCCUUUUAAUUAUUAAUUGUGCCACUUCUAUAAGCCAUUUUGUGUCCAUAUUUUUAGUACUUCUGCACUUUUUCAAUGAUUUUUUUCUGUGUAGUUAACGGUUCUAAACUUCUGUAAGCCACUUUGUGGCCUUUUAAUUAUUAGUUGUACACUUUUGUAAGUCAUUUUGUGGCCAUGUUUUUUGUACUUGUACACUUUUUCAAUGGUUUUUUAGUUAACGAUUCUGAACUUCUGUAAGCUACUUUAUGCCAUUUAAUUAUUAGUUGUGCACUUUUACAAUAGUUUUUUUUUUUUUUAGUUAACGGUUCUAACCUUUUGUAAGCUACUUUGUGGUCUUUUAAUUAAUAAUUGUGCACUUCUGUAAGCUAUUUUGUGGCUAUAUUUUUAGUACUUGUGCACCUGUUCAAUUGUUUUUUUUUUCUCUAUGGUAGUUAAUAGUUUUGAACUUCUGUAAGCCACUUUAUCGCUUUUUAAUUAUUAGUUGUGCACUUUUAUAAGCCAUUCUGUGGCCUUGUCAUUCUUAGUUGUGAACUUUUUCAAUUUCUUAUAAUGGUUAUACUCUUUCGUAAACCACAAUGUUGCCUUAUUAUUAUUAGUUGUACACUUUUCAAAAUGUAAAGUAGUCACACAUUUUGCUAGAGUGCACUUUUUAAAAAAAUUGUGCCUUCAAACUCACCCUAAAACUCGAAUUUUAGGGGAUCACUCAUAUUGUAGACAACCAUAGCCAUUUCUGCUUUAUUAUGUACAGGAUUCAAGUCUAGAGGAUGCAAAGUAAUGGUCAUUUUUGGAUAUUGUAUGACCUAUAUGGAUGUUUUCGAGAGGUAAAUAGAUUUUCCUUGAAUCAGAUCAUCAACUGUAAUUCCAUUUACAUGUGGCCAAUGUUUAGAAGUCGAAGAGUUUGAUUGUAAGCUCAAAAAAUUUGGCUCCAAAUUCUUUUUCAUUUUGGCCGCAAUGUAUUGCAUUUGGGCACUACUUUCUGAAUUUUAUUUAAAUUUGGAGAAAUCAAAUUUUGACUUUUAAUUUUGAAUUUAAAUUGAAAAAUUAUUCAAGUUUAAACAACUAAGAGCCAAAAUUUAAGUUUUCUCUCCUUUAUUUUCGCGUAAAUUUUGGAAAUUUGUUGCAUUCAAUGAAUAAGUUUGAAAAAUUUCCAUUCAUUUCUCAAUCAUGUCAUUACACAAGUAACACAACCCAAAAGGCAUGCGCCUAUUGGGAAAUGUGACAUAAGGACACGUGAAGGUUGCUUUUUCUUGAUCCGUAGGGGCUAUAGGGAUCUGGAAAUAACCAAAUAAUCCAUCUAAAAAGCAAUAAAAUCUAUUCCCUACUAGCCUUUGUAACAUCUGAAUAAUAAAAGGUAAGGGAAAGUGAUCCUUCCCAGUGGUUGAUUUAAGUUUCUAUAGUCGAUGCAUACUCUCCAUCCAGUCACUGUCCUAGUGGGAAUUAAUUCAUUAUUCACAUUUUUUACUGCAGUUGUAACAUCCUACUGAAUCGAAUCGUUGCAUAGAGUCGAGUCGAGUUGGGCCGAACAAGAACCCGGUUCGAGCCAUUUAAAUCCAGAGUGGGGUAGAAUGGGAUGUAACUUAAAUAAGUAAAAGAAGUGGACUUACUUGAAUGAAACAAAAAGAUCAAAGUAUAAGGAGUAGGACUUACUUGCACAGCAGUCAUCCCCCUUUCUUAGGAACUACCUGAACUGGACUCACCCAUGCACUAUCAGAAAUUGGAUAAAUAAUACCUGCUUCAAGUAGCUUUAUCACUUCCUUCUUUUCUACCCCUUGCAUAGCCGGAUUCAACCUCCUUCUACCCCUUGCACAGCCGGAUUCAACCUCCUUUGUGGUCGAAUAGUGGGCUUGUAAUCAUCUUCCAUUAAAAUCUUAUGCAUACAUCAUCUUCCAUUACUAAAGACUCUGUGAGACUCAAAGAAUAUAUCAUGAAUACAUCAUGCAAUACUAGCAGCCUAUAAAUGUUUCCCUACAAGCCCAAACAAAAUACGCAAGCCAGCUGUUAGACUUCAGAAAAUGUAAAAAAUGAAAAAACUGACAAAUACAAAUACCAGAGUUUCUAAGCUACAUGAAGACAAGCAAAAAAUAGUUGAACUGAUACGGAUCGAAUCAAAGAAUGAGAUGUAAGUUCGCCUCUAUGGCACCCCUCGUUUAUAAUGAAACGGAAACACCAAUAAUCGAGAUUAAACGCUCAAGGAAACGGUAACACCAAUAAUCAAGCAAAGAACAAGAUAAACGCCACAAAGAGUUGAUAAGUUUACCUUAAUUCUUGAUGCAAUUAGAGGAAGCAAUCUCUCACUAUCACUCUAAGCAAAGGAGUACAAGCUUGAACAAAUGAAGUUUAUCAAAAAUCAAAAGUUCCGUCCUUACAUGGAAGACAAGUUAUUUAUACUAAAUAAGGAAUCUAGGUUUAACAAAGCAUAAAACACACAAAACACGCCUAAGACACCCCAAGCCUUUAAGUCGAUGUCACUGUAGCGAGUCAAAUUUACUGUAGCAAGUCAAACUAAUUGAAACGGGCACUGUAGCAGGCGUGCUUUCCUCCACUGUAGCAGGCGUGCUUUCCUCCACUGUAGCACUGUAGCAGCGUGCUUUCCUCCACUUAAUAUGCCACCAACAACAUUAAAAGCCUAGGAAUGCCUUCAAGUUCCUCACAACACUUGUUGAAUGCGACAUCAUGAAGUUCUUGUGUUAUUUGGGCUUGAACAAAUAAUGAUAUGGCUGCCCCAUAUCGCUUGGCACGGCUCCUUGUAAUCGGUCCAAUAGGAAGCACCAAUGGAUCUCCUUCGUCGUUCACCAUGCCUCCUUGCGAUCCAGUGACGAGUGAUGAUGGAUCCGUAUCAUGAACAACCCCUUUUCUCUUAAGUGAAAUAUUUUAAUCAAAUCAACUCCAGGGAAUUCCUCAAGAUGACAUCAAGAAGUAGUCUCACGACAAAUCACUGCUUUCUUCUAAUGCCCAAACCCCAAUCAUUGUUACAUACCAACAAUGCCAACAAUUAAAUAUCAAAUCCCUCCCAACUCGGAAGCACCUAUAUAGAUAGCCAAAGGAGUGGUAUCUAUGUCACCUUUUCCCUUCAUAAUAUGCACACACACACUAACUAAUAGGUGCCUUAGAAAAGAAAGUUGAAUAAUAGUUCAUGGCAAGGACAUGAGUGCACACUAAUUCAGUGUUAAAGGUAAUAAAUGUUGAGAAGACUGAACUGAUUGAAGGACAAGAAGAAACUUCUAGCAUCUAGAAUAAGCCUUAUUAGACCAAGUUAUCAAGCUAUAAAGGACACUAGAGUGUCUUUGAUGAAGCUGAGCGGCUACAGAUUAUAAAACUGUAAAGGCCUCAUUCCUGGAUUUGCAGAGGUUUGGGUCACAAAUAAAUCAAGAAUCGACUAAAACUUGUCAUUUCCAAUUUAUCAGGCAGUUGGCACUAACAUAUUGCUCAUAUAGUCAGUAAACUUAAGCAUGAAUUAAACAUCUAAAGAAAACUCAGGCCUAAAUGCAGUACAAGCAAAUAAUUGAAUUGAUUUGGCAAGUUGAUCCAAGAUCUUCUUUACCAAGUUAAAGAAAAAAAGACCAGGAGAAACAAGAAUAAAUAUUCACAACAAAUUCAAGCCAGAAUAUCUACAUUAAAUUAAUAAGAAAACAACAACUUGCAACAUAAAAGUACCUGUAAAGCAUCUUGUUUGGGUGAAGAGGAUAACACCAUUGUGAGAAGUUCAAUGCUAUUUCUUGCCACAUCAAAUGCUUCCUUAGUUUGUUCAGCUGUAAAGCUUACCACGGGCAUAUCAUGCUGAAUCUGCUAAGCAAGAUUUGCAUCCACUUCCGGUGGUGAAACUGUACGAGGAGGGGUAAAGAUACGUGCCAAACUCUCAUUGUCACGACCAGGGAACCGGAUACCCCUUGAUCUUAAACUCUAUAAUAGCAAAGGAAAAUGCCCAAAAUAGGGGGAUAAAUGAGAGGAGAGUUCAAGAAGCCAUGACUUGGUGUUAGCCAAGAAUAGCCAAAUUUGAAACUAAGAUCUAAAACAGCAUUAUAUCAUAAACGAACACACAACAUCCUUGUGCAACUCAAACUAAGAUCUAAAACAGCAUCUAAAACAGCAUUAUAUCAUAAUUCAUUUUGUUUCAUAAUAAAUUAGGAAAUAAAUUAUCUAAUAGUCUUGGUAUUUGUAUCACUACAUGUAUCCAUGGAUUUUAACUGUAAAUCCAAAUUCAAAUAGGAAUAAAUAAAUGUUUAGAAUUAACUUUCUAUCAUUUUGCUGUCCAAUCUUUUGUCUCUGCAACGUAGAAAACAGGCAAAUGGUAGAGUAAACUUUUAAAUAGCAUAAAUAACAAAAGAUUAUAAUUUCACAAGUCAAAGCCAUG
rnacentral:lncRNA from 1 species